rnacentral:rRNA from 1 species
UUCCGGUUGAUCCUGCCGGACCUGACUGCUAUCGGAUUGAUACUAAGCCAUGCGAGUUUUUGUAGCAAUACAAGGCAUACGGCUCAGUAACACGUAGUCAAUCUAACCUAUGGACGAGGAUAACCUCGGGAAACUGAGAAUAAUACUCCAUAGGUCUAGGAUGCUGGAAUGCAUCUAGGCUUAAAGCUCCGGCGCCUAAGGAUGAGUCUGCGGACUAUCAGGUUGUAGUCAGGGUAAUGACCUGACUAGCCUACGACGGAUAUGGGUUGUGAGAGCAAUAACCCAGAGAUGAUAUCUGAGACACGAUAUCAGGCCCUACGGGGCGCAGCAGGCGCGAAAACUUCACAAUGUGCGAAAGCGCGAUGAGGGAAUCCCAAGUGCUUGCUCGUUAGAGUAAGCUGUUUUUAUGUUUAAAACGCAUAGAGAGUAAGAGCUGGGUAAGACGGGUGCCAGCCGCCGCGGUAAUACCUGCAGCUCGAGUGGUGGCCGCCAUUAUUGGGCCUAAAACGUUCGUAGCCGGUUUAAUAAAUGCCUGGGUAAAUCGUGUAGCUUAACUAUACGAAUUCCGGGUAGACUGUUAAACUUGAGACCGGGAGAAGCUAGAGGUACUCCUGGGGUAGAGGUGAAAUUCUGUAAUCCUAGGGGGACCACCAGUGGCGAAGGCGUCUAGCUAGAACGGGUCUGACGGUGAGGAACGAAGGCCUGGGGCGCAAACCGGAUUAGAUACCCGGGUAGUCCAGGGUGUAAACGCUGCUUGCUUGAUGUUAGUUGGGCUCCGAGCCCGAUUAGUGUCGGAGAGAAGUUGUUAAGCAAGCUGCCUGGGAAGUACGGCCGCAAGACUGAAACUUAAAGGAAUAGGCGGGGGAGCACAGCAACGGGUGGAGCGUGCGGUUCAAUUGGACUCAACGCCGGUAUCGUCG